UAAGGCCCACUAGGGGCCCAUCUACCUAACCCUAGCAGCCGCGCGUCUCUCCCCGCCGCAGCCGCCGCCGCCUCUAUCUCUCCCUUCCCUCUUCUCUCUGCCCUCACUUCUCUCCUCCCUUCCCUCAGCUCGGCGCCCAGGCCGACCAGGCCCCGCGGCGGCGGUAACCCUCCUCCGCCUUCCUCUCGCCCAACUCUCCUACCACCUCCGCUCCAUAGAUGAGGAAUCUACGGCCGAGGCAGAGGCGCCCAAGUCGUUCGUGCUCCCACGGCUGCCGCGGCCGAAGCUGAGCGUGAAGGAGCGGAAGGAGCUGGCCUCGUACGCUCAUGGCCUCGGCAAAAAGCUCAAGUCACAACAGACAAGCAAUUGAAAAAGAGAAUUGAUCUUUUUUAUGGGCGAAGUGUUGAAGAUGGCUUUGGUGAAGGAAAUGUCUUGUUAGCAUCAAGUAAGUGGCGACAUCACAACCCCUACAAGCUUGUGCCUUAAAAGAAGAGGAUACAAGAAGUUGAAGUGCUUUUGUGAAGGCUUUUGCGAAUCACUUGAAGCGUUAGGACUUUUGUGAAUGAUUUUGUAAAGUGUUUGCAAAUAUGUGCAAAACAUAUAAUAUGUGUAGGUUUUGUGAAUGAUUUUGUUGUGGUGCUUGUUGAUGGUUUAUGUGAUGUGGAUCUAUCAUUGUGCAAUACUAAUUAAAUUUGUAUAUCUAUGUGAUUAUGUGUAUAAAAAUUGGUGAUUUGUGAUGCUUUUGUAUAUAUAACAGUUGUUGAAUGCUAAUUAAUGGUAUAUUAUCAUUA